rnacentral:rRNA from 1 species
UACGAAGGGUGCAAGCGUUACUCGGAAUUACUGGGCGUAAAGCGUGCGUAGGCGGUUUGUUAAGUCCGCUGUGAAAGCCCUGGGCUCAACCUGGGAAUUGCAGUGGAUACUGGCAAGCUAGAGUGCGGUAGAGGAUGGUGGAAUUCCCGGUGUAGCGGUGAAAUGCGUAGAGAUCGGGAGGAACACCUGUGGCGAAGGCGGCAUCCUGGACCGACAUUGACGCUGAGGAGCGAAAGCUAGGGGAGCAAACGGG